UACGUAGGGUGCAAGCGUUGUCCGGAAUUAUUGGGCGUAAAGAGCUCGUAGGCGGUCUGUCACGUCGGAUGUGAAAACUCGGGGCUCAACCCCGAGCCUGCAUACGAUACGGGCAGACUUGAGUUCGGCAGGGGAGACUGGAAUUCCUGGUGUAGCGGUGAAAUGCGCAGAUAUCAGGAGGAACACCCGUAGCGAAGGCGGCACUCUGGGCCGGAACUGACGCUGAGGAGCGAAAGCGUGGGGAGCGAACAGG
rnacentral:rRNA from 1 species